AUUGAACGCUGGCGGCAUGCCUUACACAUGCAAGUCGAACGGCAGCACGGGAGCAAUCCUGGUGGCGAGUGGCGAACGGGUGAGUAAUACAUCGGAACGUGCCCAGUAGUGGGGGAUAACCCGGCGAAAGCCGGACUAAUACCGCAUACGACCUACGGGUGAAAGCGGGGGAUCGCAAGACCUCGCGCUAUCGGAGCGGCCGAUGUCAGAUUAGCUAGUUGGUGGGGUAAAGGCCUACCAAGGCGACGAUCUGUAGCUGGUCUGAGAGGGCGACCAGCCACACUGGGACUGAGACACGGCCCAGACUCCUACGGGAGGCAGCAGUGGGGAAUUUUGGACAAUGGGCGCAAGCCUGAUCCAGCCAUGCCGCGUGCGGGAAGAAGGCCUUCGGGUUGUAAACCGCUUUUGUCAGGGAAGAAACGCUCCGGGCUAAUACCACGGAGUAAUGACGGUACCUGAAGAAUAAGCACCGGCUAACUACGUG
rnacentral:rRNA from 1 species